AGAUGGAUGUUUAAGUCAGUUGUGAAAGUUCGGGGCUCAACCCCGGAAUUGCAGUUGAUACUGGAUAUCUUGAGUACAGUUGAGGUAGGCGGAAUUCGUGGUGUAGCGGUGAAAUGCUUAGAUAUCACGAAGAACUCCGAUUGCGAAGGCAGCUUACUAAGCUGUAACUGACAUUGAGGCUCGAAAGUGUGGGUAUCAAACAGGAUUAGAUACCCUGGUAGUCCACACGGUAAACUAUGGAUACUCGCUGUAGGCGAUACACAGUCUGCGGCCAAGCGAAAGCAUUAAGUAUCCCACCUGGGGAGUACGCCGGCAACGGUGAAACUCAAAGGAAUUGACGGGGGCCCGCACAAGCGGAGGAACAUGUGGUUUAAUUCGAUGAUACGCGAGGAACCUUACCCGGGCUUAAAUUGCAACUGAAUAGCUGAGAGAUCAGUUAGCUAGCAAUAGCAGUUGUGAAGGUGCUGCAUGGUUGUCGUCAGCUCGUGCCGUGAGGUGUCGGCUUAAGUGCCAUAACGAGCGCAACCCUUGUCGGUAGUUACUAACAGAUAAUGCUGAGGACUCUAUCGAGACUGCCAUCGUAAGACGCGAGGAAGGUGGGGAUGACGUCAAAUCAGCACGGCCCUUACGUCCGGGGCUACACACGUGUUACAAUGGAGGGUACAGAAGGCAGCUACACGGCGACGUGAUGCUAAUCCCGAAGACCUUUCUCAGUUCGGAUCGAAGUCUGCAACCC
rnacentral:rRNA from 1 species